rnacentral:sRNA from 1 species
UCUAUUGGUUUUAGUGACGUAGGAAGAACUGACGCAA